rnacentral:rRNA from 1 species
AUACGGAGGGUGCGAGCGUUAAUCGGAAUUACUGGGCGUAAAGCGUACGUAGGCGGUUGGUUAAGUUAGAUGUGAAAGCCCCGGGCUUAACCUGGGAACUGCAUUUAAAACUGGCGAACUAGAGUUGAGUAGAGGGGAGUGGAAUUUCAGGUGUAGCGGUGAAAUGCGUAGAGAUCUGAAGGAACACCAGUGGCGAAGGCGACUCCCUGGACUCGAACUGACGCUGAGGUACGAAGGCGUGGGUAGCAAACGGGAUUAGAAACCCCAGUAGUCC